rnacentral:rRNA from 1 species
AGAGUUUGAUCAUGGCUCAGGAUGAACGCUGGCGGUCUGCUUAACACAUGCAAGUCGAACGAAUCCUUUCGGGGAUUAGUGGCGGACGGGUGAGUAACGCGUGAGAAUCUGCCAAAAGGACUGGGACAACCACUGGAAACGGUGGCUAAUACCAGAUGUGCCGCAACGUAAAAGAGGAAACUCGCCUUUUGAGGAGCUCGCGUCUGAUUAGCUAGUUGGUGAGGUAAAAGCUCACCAAGGCAACGAUCAGUAGCUGGUCUGAGAGGACGACCAGCCACACUGGGACUGAGACACGGCCCAGACUCCUACGGGAGGCAGCAGUGGGGAAUUUUCCGCAAUGGGCGAAAGCCUGACGGAGCAAGACCGCGUGAGGGAGGAAGGCUCUUGGGUCGUAAACCUCUUUUGUCAGGGAAGAACACAAUGACGGUACCUGACGAAUCAGCAUCGGCUAACUCCGUGCCAGCAGCCGCGGUAAUACGGAGGAUGCAAGCGUUAUCCGGAAUUAUUGGGCGUAAAGCGUCCGUAGAUGGUUUUGCCAGUCGGCUGUCAAAGCACAGGGCUUAACCCUGUAAAGGCAGUGGAAACUACAAGACUAGAGUGCAGUAGGGGCAGAGGGAAUUCCCAGUGUAGCGGUGAAAUGCGUAGAGAUUGGGAAGAACACCCGUGGCGAAAGCGCUCUGCUGGACUGCUACUGACAUUGAGGGACGAAAGCUAGGGGAGCGAAUGGGAUUAGAUACCCCAGUAGUCC